rnacentral:ncRNA from 1 species
AACUGAAAAGGGCAAACCAUUCGUAAGGAUGGGGCGCAAAGCUAAUAGGGCCCGCUCGCCCUAAGAUGGACAGCGAGGCAGCCAGCUGCCAGU